ensembl:lncRNA
AUGAACAAUGAAUUUAAAAAACUGGUCGUAUAUAUAUAUUAUUUUUUUAAUUUGAUUUUCUCAGUAUACAAUGCUUACAAAAUUGAUAAUAUAACUAUUAAUAAACAACAAUUCAGUGAUGCUUUUGUAAAAGCAGUAAAAAAGAUUAAUAAAUAUAAUAAAAGUAACAAUAAUAAUUAUGAUUACUGUAAAUACAAAAAAAUACCUAAAAUAUUAAUAAACAGAAAUAAAUUAAAAGACAAUAAAAAAUUAAAUUAUAUAGUAGGGAUAGAAAAUACCUGUGAUGAUACAUGUAUUUGUAUUAUCGAUUCGAAUCUUAACAUAAUUAAAAAUGUUAUCAUAUCACAUUUUAAAGUAGUUCAUAAGUAUGAAGGAGUAUACCCGUUUUUUAUUAGUUCUAUUAAUAAGGUAUUUUUAAAGACCUAUGUAGAGAAAACGCUAGAUGGUAUUGAUGUAAAAAAAAUUAACUGUUUCGGAUUAAGUGUAUGUCCAGGUAUAGCCAAAAAUAUGGAGGCAGCUAAGACAUAUAUAGGGGAAGUAAAAACAAUAAAUGACCAUAUAAAAAUAAGUUCCGUAAAUCACGUAUUUGCUCAUGUCCUUUCACCACUAUUUUUUAAAUUUUACAAUGACAGAAACACAUAUACUAAUAAUUUCCAAUACAAGGAAAUAUUUAUAGAUGAUAGUCAAAGUAGUGGUCACAACAAUAUUCAAAAUGACAGCCAAAUAAACAGCCAAAUAAAAAGCCAAAUAAAUAGCCAAAUAAAUAGCCAAAUAAAUAGCCAAAUAAAUAGCCAAAUAAAUAGCCAAAUAAAUAUGGACAUAUCAAAAAAUAUAAAAUCAGACGAUAUAGACAACAUUUUACAAGUUUUAAAUGAUAAUGUUGUUACUAAGCAUAGAAUAAAACUUCUGAACAAAACUGAAUUUUUAAAAUAUGGGACAUACAUUUUAAAAAGAAUAAAUGAUGAACAUACUAAACAAAGUGAAUCCGAAGUAAAAAAAGAAAAAACAAGAUCAAAUGAGAACAACACAACCGAAAUAGUUACAAAUAACGAUAUGAUAAAGAAUGGCAACAAUUACUUGAAAGAUGGAUAUAUUUGUAUUUUAGUUUCUGGAGGUAGCACACAUGUAUAUAAAGUUCAAAAGAAUAAAAAAAAUGACAUUAAUGUGUGUAAAAUAGCACAAACUGUUGAUAUAUCUAUAGGGGACAUAAUUGAUAAAAUUACAAGACUUCUUCAGUUACCUGUCGGUUUAGGUGGAGGUCCAUUUCUUGAAAAAAAAUCAAAAGAAUUUGUUAAACGAUUAGAUGAACACCAAAUUGAUAAAAACAUGCUUACAGAUCCAUUUCAUCCGUUUCCUGUUCCUUUUGCAUCAAAUCAUAUAAUUGAUUUUUCUUUUUCAGGAAUUUAUAACCACAUGAGUAAUAUUAUAAAAGACCUUAAAAUGAAAAAUACGUUUGAAAAAGAAAUAGACAGAUAUUCUUAUUACUGUCAAAAAAAUAUAUUUAACCAUUUGUUAAAUCAACUAAAUAAAAUUAUGUAUUUUUCCGAACUACAUUUUGAUAUAAAAAAUUUAUUUAUCGUUGGAGGAGUCGGAUGUAAUAGUUUUUUGUUCCAAAGUUUGAAAGACCUCGCUUUAAAAAGAAGUACAAAAGAAAAUCAAAUUAAUGAAUAUAAUAAAUUAAAAAAAAGAUUAAAAAAAAAAAUAAAAAAAAAAAUCAAUACAAUUGAAAAAAAAACAACAAAAGAUACUCUAACAAAUGUAAAUGAGUUGAAUUUGUCUUCAGUAUGGGAUAUUUAUUUAAAAUUUCUUGUAAAGAAAGAAAAAAAGGAAAAUAUUUUAACAGCUCUAAAAAAUUUUAAUUUUGAAAACUUCUAUAAACUUAAGGAGAAGGGAUGUUUUAUGUUAGAAAGGAACCAAUUGGGUAGUUCAACUACUACAAUACCAUGGAACGUAUAUCGAACACCGUUAAACUUAAGUAAAGAUAAUGCAACUAUGGUUUGCUUCAUGUCUUUUUUGAAUUUACACAAUAAAAUGUAAGUAUAUGUGUAUAUGCUUAAACACGUAGUAUAAUAUGUGUAUGUAUACAUAUAU